GGAGACAAACGUACAUUUCUAUCGCCCGGCAGCUUCUCUGCCGUCGUAUCGGCCAUCUCCAUGGGAUGAGGAGUCCGAAAAUUACUCGCAAAACCUUCCUCUGCCUCCAUAUCGCCAAAGUCAAAGACAUUUGGAAUUUAAUUUUAGGGGUAAUUUUUAAUUGCCUCUACCUUUAUUUUUCGUAUUAUAAAACUACAACCUACUUUCACGAUAAGUAAAAAAAGUAGCUAAUUUUUUUUUACUUUAUCGACAUGUUAUAGAAAGAUAUCGGUCACUCGCUUUAAAAUUGGUAUCUUUUGUUGUUGUUUUUUUGUUGUUGAAAAUGUUAUUUUGAAUUGUCAUGUUAUAUACUUAUUGAACUUAUUUAUUUUAACUUGAUAUAUUAUGGAAAAUAUAUCAAGGAUAAGAAAAUAAAAGAAAACUUAUGCU
rnacentral:misc_RNA from 1 species